GGAGAAAUAUCGAAGUGGUCAUAACGGGGCGCACUCGAAAUGCGUUUGGGAUUAUUUCCCACGUGGGUUCGAAUCCCACUUUCUCCG
rnacentral:tRNA from 2 species